CUUUUUACCGAACCUUUUCAAUGUUAACGUUUGUUUCUGCAUGUGCUUGUCUUUGUCAGACAGAAAGUGUUUGAAGAUGUCCAACGUUUCCUGAAUCCUGACGACAUCAUCGACCAGGUAGUGUUUGACCUGGAAGACAGCAGUCUUCAGUGUCCAUCUGAUUCCUUGAGGUUUUAUUCUAAGUUUGAAUGUGGGAACCUAAGGAAGGCUGUUCAGGUCCGAAGAUAUGAAUAUGACCUCAUACUGAACGCGGAUGCUAACUGUAACCAGCACACGCAGUGGUUUUACUUUGAAGUCAGUAACAUGGUCCCAGGCACCCCCUACCGUUUGAAUGUCAUCAACUGUGAGAAGAGCAACAGCCAGUUCAACUAUGGUGAGAAGGGGUGUGUG